rnacentral:rRNA from 1 species
AGAUUGAACGCUGGCGGCAGGCCUAACACAUGCAAGUCGAGCGGUAGAGAGGUGCUUGCAUCUCUUGAGAGCGGCGGACGGGUGAGUAAUGCCUAGGAAUCUGCCUAGUGGUGGGGGAUAACGUUCGGAAACGGACGCUAAUACCGCAUACGUCCGUACGGGAGAAAGCGGGGGACCUUCGGGCCUCGCGCCAUUAGAUGAGCCUAGGUCGGAUUAGCUAGGUUGGUGGGUAAUGGCUCACAAGGCGACGAUCCGUAAUGGUCUGAGAGGAUGAUCAGUCAACACGUGGAACUGACGAACGACGGUCCAGACCUCCGAGGGAGCAAGCAGGUGGGAAUAGUGACAAGUGGGACGAAGCCUAGACU